GAUACCGCCCUAGUUCUAACCAUAAACGAUGCCAACCAGCGAUCCGCCUGGGUUCCUCAAAUGACUCGGCGGGCAGCUUCCGGGAAACCAAAGUGUUUGGGUUCCGGGGGAAGUAUGGUUGCAAAGCUGAAACUUAAAGGAAUUGACGGAAGGGCACCACCAGGAGUGGAGCCUGCGGCUUAAUUUGACUCAACACGCGAAAACUUACCCGACCCGGACACUGGAAGGAUUGACAGAUUAAGAGCUCUUUCUUGAUUCAGUGGUUGGUGGUGCAUGGCCGUUCUUAGUUGGUGGAGCGAUUUGUCUGGUUAAUUCCGAUAACGAACGAGACUCUAGCCUACUAAAUAGGCGUUCCGAUCACUUCAGUCGGACGUUCUUCUUAGAGGGACAAGCGGCGUUUAGCCGCACGAGACAGAGCAAUAACAGGUCUGUGAUGCCCUUAGAUGUCCGGGGCCGCACGCGCGCUACACUGAAGGAAUCAGCGUGUGCUUUCCCUGUCCGGUAGGACUGGGUAACCCGUUAAACCUCCUUCGUGAUAGGGAUAGGGGCUUGUAAUUGUUCCCCUUGAACGAGGAAUUCCCAGUAAGCACGAGUCAUAAGCUCGUGUUGAUUACGUCCCUGCCCUUUGUACACACCGCCCGUCGCUACUACCGAU
rnacentral:rRNA from 1 species